UUGAAUUUUCACAUUUUCAUCCUUGUCUGUAGAAAUGACUUGAGUAAGUUAUUUUUCACGAUUAAUUUAUGAAAGCAACCCAUCUAAUGCCGAUUUUUUUUGGUUUAUCAUCUCCUCAUCGACGUAUUGCCACAACGAAUAGGGAUCAAUGGAUCAUUAUCGAGUAACCCCACGCGAAACAGUACCAGUGGUCACCAGUGGUAUACCAUUGAUGGUCAGUGGUAACCACUGAUCACCAAUGGUAUUUCAGCUGGUUUUUACCACUGGACUAUUUUUCCCACUGAUAAUCAGUGGUGCCACUGAUAUUACCAGUGGUAUAACAGAUGGUUUUUACCACUGGUAGAUAUUUACCACUGGUAGAUAUUUACCACUGGAAAAUAAUGUUACCUCUUGCCUACCAGUGAACUUCAUACCAGUGAUACAUUUUUACCAAUGGUAUUUUGGUGUAACCAGUAUAAUACAGUCAAAUAGGGAUUUCACCUGGAAUAAAUUGGGGGAAAAUUUUUUUGCGCCAAAAUGUUCAGGAUGGUGUCCUAAAUACCCACCCUAAAUCCGCCUGGAGCUUCUCCCCCCAGACCCACAUUUGUGCCCCCUAGCACAGUUCUUCGCCAUUUUCUCCCCCGCAUUGCAUUUUAGCGAAAAAUAUGUGGUUAGAUAAAAGAAUCUACGUCAAAUUUCCGAUCUAAUGAUGUAUCAACUUUCCUUGUAUGUUCAAGGGGGUGGAAUUACAAAUUUACAACCAUUCAAAAAAGGGGUGUUUCCUGAAAAAUACAUAAAGGAUAUAGACGCCUAAGGGGGGUGAAAUGGUCCCCGAAAGCGUUUGAGUUGAUAUCAUCAUGGAAGGUGGGUACGAUGGAGAAACUUGCGUGUGAAAAAUUUCAGAUCCACACCCCCUCCCCUUUUCUGAAAUUUCAAUGACGCUUUUCUCAGCCCCAUGUUGAUCGAUUUUGAAAAUUUUUCUGGAAGUUAUGUAUAUCCUUAGUACGUAUCCCCACAAAAAUUUUCAACCCCCUCCUCUCAUAUUUACUCCUCAAAAUGGUGUAAAAAUGAGUCAUAGGGAGGGUUGGGGUAAAAUGGGAAUUUUUGGGAAAAUAAGCAAGUAUUAACGAGUGGGGUGUCCUUUUCUUAUGAUUCGAUACCACUGGGCACGAAUAUGACGUCAGAUUUUUUGCUACCCUCAUCUAGCUCUCUCCAGAGCACUUAGUCCCUUCAAUUUUCACUAUUGCUAAAAAGCAUGAAAAAAUGAAAAAACGCUAUUUUAGUUGAUUCAAAUUAUUUUUCAUCUCCAUUAUAAAAAUCUGUACCUAUUUUUUACUCAAAAAGUUAUUCAAAUCAUAUAUUUUCCUGUCAUACAAGAAAUUAAAUAAAAUCAAUUUUCCAGUCUAAAAAUUCCUAAAUUUACUUGGUACACGUAACAGGCGCGCCGCGCUAGAGUCGCGCUUGUUUCUGAUUGGCUGAUGAAUGGUUCCGAGAUAAACUGCAUUAGUUGCGGUGCCGCGUGUUGAAAUCCACACGUGGCAUUUGAUUUAAAUUUUAACGGUCAACGUUAGCCAUGUGUUGUUUAUGAAUGAGAAUUCCUUCUUUGAAUUCAUUGAAUUGCAAUUAUUCGUGUCGGUAAAUUUACAUUUUAUAAUAUAAGUAACGUGUGUGUAAGUUAUAAGAUUUGAUAAACGUUGAUUUUGUGGUUUUUGUACUCUAAUUUUCGACAAUGGAUGACAAAGUGGCAGCUGAUUCAGACUCGAAGAGUUAUGAUUACUCAAAUGCUUCGUGUGUUUGCUGUGAAUUUGUGGAGGAUGACAAUAGCGUAAGUGUAGGGUACAGCAACUGGCUCCUGAAUUUAACUACAGAUCUUUCGAAAAUCAUCGAUGAUCGAGAAACUGUUACAAUAAACUGACCAAAAAACGUUGAAGUUAAACCUCCGGCAAAAAUGAGAAAACAAAUGAAAAAUAUCAACGUUGAGUGGGAGGCAUGGAAUGUGAAAAUUCACGGACAAGGAGAUUGGCUCGCGAUGUGUGAGAUGAGAAAAAAUUUAGAACAGACAGGAUGCGCCCAAGUCAACAGAAGUGACCGGAAGAGUUUAAAGCGAAUAAGUGAUAGUUCAAUAGAUCGUUCUGAAGAUUCCACAUCUAAAAAUGACAUCAAUUCAAAUAAAAUAAAGAAGUCCAGGAAACAUUCUAACCAAAAAAAAAUUGAAGGUUCUUCUCUUUUGAUGGAUGAAGUAUUGAGAGUAAAAUCUCAGCUGGAAGUAAACGAUGGAGAAAGAGGCGAAGAAAUGGAAAAAUUAAGAAAGCGAAAUCAGGAGCUUGAAGAAGAAAUCGAAGGGCUGAAAUCGCUCAUAACAUCACGAAAAUAGUAUGCCAAGAAAGUGUUUGGGGAACAGCAUCCAUGACAUUUCAAAGAUUAACACCUACAUUGGCGAGAAAAUAAAUGUAGCAAUGAGUGGAGAAUUCAACGAAGAUUGGUGGAGCAGAAGCCCGAAUACUUAAUGAUCUGUAGCCUACAAUGAAUUUUCUUUUUUUGUAAAAAUAAAAUUUCAGAAACGUU